rnacentral:rRNA from 1 species
UGGGGAAUUUUGGACAAUGGGCGAAAGCCUGCUCCAGCAAUGCCGCGUGUGUGAAGAAGGCCUUCGGGUUGUAAAGCACUUUUGUCCGGAAAGAAAUGGCUCUGGUUAAUACCUGGGGUCGAUGACGGUACCGGAAGAAUAAGGACCGGCUAACUACGUGCCAGCAGCCGCGGUAAUACGUAGGGUCCAAGCGUUAAGCGGAAUUACUGGGCGUAAAGCGUGCGCAGGCGGUUGUGCAAGACCGAUGUGAAAUCCCCGAGCUUAACUAGGGAAUUGCAUUGGUGACUGCACGGCUAGAGUGUGGCAGAGGGGGGUAGAAUUCCACGUGUAGCAGUGAAAUGCGUAGAGAUGUGGAGGAAUACCGAUGGCGAAGGCAGCCCCCUGGAAUAACACUGACACUCAUGCACGAAAGCGUGGGGAGCAAACAGG